CCCGGGACAGUCGGACAGCAUCCACAGACAAGAGCAGAAGAGGAAACACUAAAGAAAGAAACUGAGCAUGGCCAGCUCGCACUGCUUUGAGAACCCGCCGGCGCUGAGCCCGGCCGGCGGAGCCGGCGAGGUCGUCGAUGAUUUCGGCGGGAUGAAGGCCUACGUCGCCGGCUUUGCGGGGUCCAAGGCCGCCGUCGUCCUCGUCUCCGACGCCUUCGGGUUCGAAGCGCCAAACCUGAGGAAGAUAGCCGACAAAGUUGCUUCGUCUGGUUACUUUGUUGUGGUUCCAGAUUUCUUGCAUGGGGAUCCAUAUGACCCCAGCAACCCCAACAAUCCUGGAAUGUGGUUGCAAUCACAUAAUCCGGAGGGAACAACUAGUAGCAUUUUUUUUUUGUUCCGAAGCAGUGUUUCUGGCAUGGCUUGAACACCUCUCUGCAGAGAUGUGCUUGGUUUUAUAGUUUAUAUCAAAAAGCAUUUGAAGAGGCAAAACCAGUAAUUGCUGCUAUAAAGGAGAAGGGAGUGUCGAACAUAGGGGCUGCUGGCUAUUGUUGGGGUGCAAAGGUGGUUGUGGAGCUGGCAAAAGUUCAUGAGAUCCAGGCUGCUGUAUUGUUACAUCCUUCUUUACUAACUGUUGAUGACAUCAAAGAGGUUAAAUGUCCCAUUUCUAUACUUGGAGCUGAAAUCGACAAAACAUCCCCGCCUGAAUUGUUAAAGCAGUUUGAGCAGGUUCUUUCAACUAACUCUGGGGUCGAUCACAUUGUCAAGAUUUUUCCCAAAGUAGCGCAUGGGUGGGCUGUGAGAUACAACGAUGAAGAUGCAGCAGCUGUCACGAGUGCUGAGGAAGCUCUGCAGGAUAUGAGCCACUGGUUUAACAAGUACCUAAACUGAAAUUUGAAGUUGCAGCUCUCCAUCUAAUAAGCUCCUGACAGUGAUCAUUUGCAGCCAUACCGUGUUUGUGUUUUAUAUGGUUCGACUUGCGUCUUCUGUUGAGUAGGUGGCACUGUUUCUAUACUUGAGGAGCUUAAUUAGAAGUCCCACCUUUUUGUCGUACAUUUUUUUAUGCCAUUGAAUUAAGAACUGCUCUUCAGUUGAGUUUGUGUUAUCGUGUCAAUACUUCAGCUUGUGCUUUUGUUUAUGCAUGAUAUGUAUAUGCCAGUUUACCUA